rnacentral:rRNA from 1 species
UACAGAGGUCCCAAGCGUUGUUCGGAUUUACUGGGCGUAAAGGGCGCGUAGGCGGCCACCGCAAGUCGACUGUGAAAUCUCCGGGCUUAACUCGGAAAGGUCAGCCGAUACUGCGGGGCUAGAGUGCAGAAGGGGCAACUGGAAUUCUCGGUGUAGCGGUGAAAUGCGUAGAUAUCGAGAGGAACACCUGCGGCGAAGGCGGGUUGCUGGGCUGACACUGACGCUGAUUGUGCGAAAGCUAGGGGAGCGAACGGG